AGGCACAAGAGUAAAGGGGAAAGGAAAAGGAAUUUGGAGUCAGGUACAUUUGCACUCAUUCUCUUUGUGCUUCUGGGCAUUUAACCUUUCUGUGCCUGUUUCCUUCUCUCAAAAUUGGAAAAAAAUAGUACAUAUCUAUAGUAGAUUUUGUGGGUGUUCUGCUCAGAUCCCCUUGGAUUUCUUCCACAUUUUCUGAGCACCCCUCACCCUGUUUUUGCCUCCUUUGGUUUCCAAUACCAGCCCCAAGACCACCACCUGAGAGCUCCUGGGACUUUUCUUUGGAGGAACUGCCCUUAGCUACCAGACCACCAUUGCCCAUAGGCAGAUAGAGCCUAGGUGCCCCUGAGUAGCACUUAGCCAAUGACUGAUGGUUGAGAACCUUGAUCUCAUGUUGGAUAAAUCUGAGGUACAACUUACAACCAGAGCUCCUCUAUGGGAUCGGACUGAAACCAUCUCCCACUAGACCAUUCCUAAAAUCCCAUCUGUGUUGGCUUCUUGCCCUCCUCUGUCCUGCUACCCCUACUCCCUUUCCUGUUUCUCCUGGCAACACUUUCUUUAAAUUGCUUUUGUAGAAAAAUACUUGACUCAAGUCCUGCUGACAUAAGACAUCACAUUAUAGAGUUGAUAUAAGCAUCAAAUGAAACAUUAUAAAGAAGAAACUAGUCCAGUGCCUGAAACAGAGUAAGCCUUCAAUAAAACAUAUCUAAUCUUUUUAUUCUGAAACUUUAGAUCUCUUUUAGUUCACAUAAGCAAGGAAAAAAAAUUUCUCUCUUUCACUGCAGAAGAAUUUUGAGGAACAUCUCCUUGCCUAGAUUAUUUCUGGGCAUAGUAUUAUCUGGAGUGAUCAUAUACUAUGAAAUUUUCUUCUGUGAAAGUUCAUGUCUCUCCUAAUUUGUUUUUCUGUUCACCAAAAUUAUUUUAUAAAUACGGCAAGUACUUUGCUUUCUGUUAAUGAAUUUCAUUUUGUUUCUUUCAAAUAAAAGUAAAGUGAGGUUAUGAACCUAACAGCAGAGCCCCAAAAUACACGAAGCAAUAAAUACCAUUUUUUGAUAAAGGUACUAACACCAUUCAGUGGAAAAAGAUAUAUAGCCUUUUCAAUUAUAUAACCACAUCUAAAAGAAUGAGUUUGGAACCCUACUUCACACUAUAUACAAAAAUAAAAAUGGUUCAAAGACCUAAAUAUAAGAGCUAAAACUGUACAACUCUUGGACUAAAACCUUGCCUUAAGUCUUUAUCACCUGGGAUUAGGCAAAGGUUUAUUGAAUGUGAUACAAAAAGUACAAGCAAUAAAAGAAAAAAGGUAGAUAAACUGAACUCCACCAAAAUGCGUGCAUCAAAAAACACUAUCAAGAAAAUGAAAAGACAACACACAAUGGACAAAUAUUUUAAAAUCGUCCAUCAGAAUAUAUAAAGAACUCUUACAACUCAACAAUCAAAAGACAAUAGCCCAAUUUAAAAACAUGUAAAAGAUUUAAAUAGACAUUUCUCCAGAUAAGAUAUAUAAAUGGCUAAUAAGCACAUAAAAUGCUCAAUAUCAUUUUCAUUAGGAAAAUGCAAAUCAAAACCACAAUAAGGUAUCACUUCACACCCACUAUAAUUUUUUAAAAAUGAUAAUGAGGUUGUGGAGAAAUUGGGACCUUCAUACAUUGCUGGUAGGAAUGUAAAAUGAUACCACCACUGUGGAAAAUAGUUUCACAGUUCCUCAAAAAGUUAAACAUAUGAUCCAGUAAUUCUGUUCCUAGGUAGAUACUCAAGAGAAUUGAAACAUAAAUUCAUACACAAAGCUUGUGUAAAAAUGUUUAUAGCAACAUUAUGCAUAAAAGUUAAAAAGUCAACACAACCAAAAUGUUCAUCAGCUGUUCUAUACAUAAACGCAAUGUGGUAUAUCCAUACAAGGGAAUAUUAUGCAGUCAUUAAAAAACAGUGAAGCUGAGGCUGACGGAUUGCUUGAGCUCAGGAGUUUGGGACCAGCCCGGGCAACAUGUCAAAACCCCAUCUCUACUGAAAAAUACAAAAAUUAGCUGGGCAUGGUGGUGCAUGUCUGUAAUCCCAGCUACUCAGGUGGCUGAGCUGAGAUCGCAGCCACUGCACUCUAGCCUGGGCAACAGAGCAAGAUUUUGUUUCAAAAAAAUAAAACGAAACAAAACAGUGAAGCAAUGAUACAUGCUUCAAUAUGUAUGAACCUUAAAAACAUCAUGUCAAGUGAAAUAAGCCAGAUAUAAAAGGCUACAUAUUGUGUGAUCCAUUUACAUGUAAUGUCCAGGAUAAGCACAUCCAUAGAGACAGAAAGUAGAUUAAUGGGUUUGCCAGGGGUUAGAAGUAGGGGAAAUGAGAUGUGACUCCCUAAUGUGUAUGGGGUUUCUUUUUUGGAUGACAAAAAUGUUUUGGAUAGUGAUGAUGGUUGUACAAUAUUAUGACUGUACUAGAAGCCACUGAGCUGUACACUUCAAGACGGUUAUAAUGAUGACUUCUGUGUGAAUUUUGCCUCAAUAAAGUAAAUUUUUUUUAAAUAAGAAAGGCCAGAUUUUUUUUGCAAUGGAGUCUUGCUCUGCUGCCCAAGCUGGAGUGCAGUGGUGAGAUCUCGGCUCACUGCAACCUCUGCUUCCCGGGUUCAAGCAAUUAUCCUGCUUCAGCCUCCUGAGUAGCUGAGACUACAGGCACACACUACUGCACCCAGCUAAUUUUGUAUUUUUAGUAGAGAUGGGGUUUCACCAUGUUGGCCAGGCUGGUCUUGACCUCCUGACCUCAAGUUAUCCACCCCCACUCGGCCUCCCAAAGUGCUGGGAUUACAGGUGUGGGCCACUGCACCCAACCAGAUUAUUUUUAAAAAUUAAGAAUCUGCUUACCAGGUAAGAAUUACUACUUAGUCCAAAACUUUGCUGUGGAAGAAAUUUAUAAAAUUUCGACAAAUUUUCCAGGCUUGUUCUUAAAAUAUGAACUAUCAGUUUUCCUGUUAUCAUAUAAACAUCAACAGAUUAGGUCUGCAUUCCUUCUUCAAGUCUAAUUUCCUCCUCCUUCAAUCUUGGUUGUGCCAUAUGUUUUUCCUUAUUGCAUGUAGGAUAAUAGAGAAGUAACGGGGGAAAUGGAAAAUGAAGAGGAGAGAUGAAGAAAAGGAAGGAUCAAUAAAUGGCUGAGAGGAUUGAGGGAGUCAAUUAAAAAAGAGAGAAAGCCCAAGACAGGAACUUCAGCUUGAAUUGGGGCCCAGAGC
rnacentral:lncRNA from 1 species